rnacentral:rRNA from 1 species
GGAAUCUUCGGCAAUGGGCGCAAGCCUGAUAGAGCAACACCGCGUGAGUGAAGAAGGGUUUCGGCUCGUAAAGCUCUGUUGUUAAAGAAGAACACGUAUGAGAGUAACUGUUCAUACGUUGACGGUAUUUAACCAGAAAGUCACGGCUAACUACGUGCCAG